ensembl:snoRNA Snora36b small nucleolar RNA, H/ACA box 36B
UUCCAAAGUGUUGAGUCCAGCCCAGGGUCUCUUCCCUGCUCUGUUAAUUAAACUUUGGAACAUUGAAGCUGGCUGGGGAAAAUGAUUGGAUAGAAAGCACUGUUCUAUUCAUUUACUCCCCAGCCUACAAAC